UACCGCUCAAACCCUCCGUGGUGUCUACGGCCUGGCGUGGCCGUGGCCUCCUUUGACUGGACGCAAUAGUUCUUGGUUUUGGCAGCCAUCGAGACACCUGUCCCCACUUAUACAGCGUGGUCGAGCCGCGGCCUUCGAGGCUCACACCCUCUAAUCCUCUGAGUAGCUGCGCCGUAUGGCUUGGCCAGAGUGGUACGUACACGGGUUUGUUAUUCUUUAAAGGAAUAAUUCAGUUAUUAUUAUUAUUAUGAAAUCUGUUUAUGUGACUUUUUUUGUGGAGUCCCGGCUACUGCUUGGCCUGCCACUGGCUACCACUCCCUGGAUGCACCGCUGUUCUUUGUAGUGUACUGUUCUUUGUAGUUCACGGUUCUUUGUAGUGUGCUGUUCUUUUGUACGCUGCUGUUCUGCUGUUCUUCUGUGCCGUUCUGUGCCUUGAGGUUCUGCGCUGUGCUGGAUCGGAUAGAGGCGCUCGUUAUUGAAGAGUCCUGAGCUUGUCCACUCUGCAGAGGCCGUCAGCCUAUUUUAAAUCGUUAUUUCUUUGUUUUCUUAACAUUAUUUUCAUUGAGUUAUUGAGGUAGCAGUUAUUUUUGUUUGUAUUCAUUAACGUUAAUUGUUAGUAACUUUAUUUGUUUUUUGACUUUUGUUAUUUGGAUUUAUUUUCAAUUGGUUUUUGAUUAUUUCAUCAGCACUAAGGAUGUGUAGCGUUUGGCCAGUUUUUAAUGUUCUCUCUUUGUCAAACAGGUGCUGAGGGCCUGAGGCGGCAGUUUUAUGGUAGUUAAUCCUUUAGUGCUUGGCAUGUAGUUUUCUUUUUAACGUUUCAAUUUUGUUGUUAAUUAUUUUUGUUAAAUAAAGUUCUUGUUUCUAAAAUA